rnacentral:lncRNA from 1 species
GCAGUAAGGGACUGGAGGUAUAAUUUGUCAGCUUAGCUCACAGGUUUUUUUAGUAUAAUCUUAAGUUGCAUAUGUUGGGUUUUUUUUACAACCUGUUGAAUGCUUGGAAACUGCUCAUAAAAGAAGUGUUCCAAUAUUAAUCAAUUUAUGCAGAUUCUAUUAACAUUUAUAUUAGAUAACUACAGUUUACAAGUACCUUCAGAAUGAGAGGCAGC